UACGUAUGGUGCAAGCGUUAUCCGGAUCUACUGGGCGUAAAGGGAGCGCAGGCGGUGCGCCAAGUCUGAUGUGAAACCCCGGGGCUCAACCCCGGGCAUGCAUUGGAAACUGGCGGGCUGGAGUGCCGGAGAGGUAAGCGGAAUUCCUAGUGUAGCGGUGAAAUGCGUAGAUAUUAGGAGGAACACCAGUGGCGAAGGCGGCUUACUGGACGGCAACUGACGCUGAGGCUCGAAAGCGUGGGGAGCAAACAGG
rnacentral:rRNA from 1 species